rnacentral:rRNA from 1 species
AUUGAACGCUGGCGGCAGGCCUAACACAUGCAAGUCGAGCGAGCGGCGGACGGGUGAGUAAUGUCUGGGAAACUGCCUGAUGGAGGGGGAUAACUACUGGAAACGGUAGCUAAUACCGCAUACCAUCAGAUGUGCCCAGAUGGGAUUAGCUCGUAGGUGGGGUAAUGGCUCACCUAGGCGACGAUCCCUCGCUGGUCUGAGAGGAUAACCAGCCAAACUGGAACUGGGACACGGUCCGGACUCCUACGGGAGGCAGCAGUGGGGAAUAUUGCACAAUGGGCGCAAGCCUGAUGCAGCCAUGCCGCGUGGGUGAAGAAGGCCUUCGGGUUGGAAAGCACUUUCAGCGGGGAGGCGUUACCCGCAGAAGAAGCACCGGCUAACUCCGUGCCAGCAGCCGCGGUAAUUA